rnacentral:tRNA from 1 species
UGGGGUGUGGCUCGGUGGUGGAGUGCUUGCUUAGCAGGCUCAAGGCCUGGGUUCCAUCCCCAGCACUGCAA